rnacentral:rRNA from 1 species
GAUGAACGCUGGCGGCGUGCUUAAUACAUGCAAGUCGAGCGGAGAAUUAGCAAUAGUUCUUAGUGGCGAACGGGUGAGUAACGCGUGGGUGACCUGCCCCGAAGUGCGGGAUAACAGCUCGAAAGGGCUGCUAAUACCGCAUGCAGUGCGUGUCGUUAGAGAACACGCACCAAAGGCGAAAGCCGCUUUGGGAGGGGCCUGCGUCCCAUCAGCUGGUUGGUAAGGUAACGGCUUACCAAGGCGACGACGGGUAGGGGGCCUGAGAGGGUGACCCCCCACACUGGCACUGAAACACGGGCCAGACACCUACGGGUGGCAGCAGUAGGGAAUAUUGCACAAUGGGCGCAAGCCUGAUGCAGCAACGCCGCGUGCGCGAUGAAGGCCUUCGGGUCGUAAAGCGCUUUUCUGGAGGACGAGGAGGGACGGUACUCCAGGAAGAAGGCUCGGCUAACUACGUGCCAGCAGCCGCGGUAAAACGUAGGAGCCUAGCGUUAUCCGAAUUCACUGGGCGUAAAGCGCGUGCAGGCGGUUCGGUAAGUUGGAUGUGAAAUCUCCUGGCUCAACUGGGAGAGGACGUUCAAGACUGUCGGACUAGAGGACGGUAGAGGAAGGUAGAAUUCCCGGUGUAGUGGUGAAAUGCGUAGAUAUCGGGAGGAAUACCAGUGGCGAAGGCGGCCUUCUGGGCCGUUCCUGACGCUCAGACGCGAAAGCUAGGGGAGCAAACGGGAUUAGAAACCCCGGUAGUCCUAGCCGUAAACGAUGUAGACUUGGUGUCGGUGGGGUAAAAGCCAGCGGUGCCGAAGCCAACGCGAUAAGUCUACCGCCUGGGGACUACGGCCGCAAGGUUAA